rnacentral:tRNA from 1 species
CCGGUGUAAUGGUUAAGCACUAAGGACUCUGAAUCCAGCGAUCCGAGUUCAAGUCUCGGUGGAAAGU